rnacentral:rRNA from 1 species
UCUUCCGAUCUAGCAGCGACGAAGCGGGAGCGUAAGCCACCGUGGAGCGCUAUCGAGUGAGAAUGCUGACAUAAGUAGUGAUUUCUCUCUGUGAGAUUCAGAGAUGCCGAAAGCCCGAGGUUUCCGCAGCAAUGUCAAUCAGCUGCGGGUGAGUCGGAUCUAAGUGACGCGCCAGAUCGGCACGUCGCGAUGUACAAACGGUUAAUAUUCCGUUACUAUGAUGCAUGAGUUAUAUUCAGUAUUACGACGAAGUUGGUCAAGUAUAGCGAUUUAUAUGAUCGUCCAAGUGCCGACAUUAUGUACCAGUAGGUAUGUAGAGGAGGUAUGAGUGUAAGGUGGUGUCGCAAGGCACUGUCAAGUAUAUGCGAUACGCUUCCAGGAAAAGAGUAUUGAGGAUUGUGCAUUGUACCCGUACCGAUAACCGACACAGGUGGGCAGGUCGAGUAGACUAAGGCAAACGAUUAAAGGUGGUUCAAGGAACUCGGCAAAAAAGUUGACCGUAAGAUUUUCGAGAUGGUCUGCCCCACUUUAUUGUGGGGUCGCAGCGAACGUUUUUCAAACGACUGUUUAUCUAAAACACAGGUUCCUGCUAAGCAGCAUAUGCGCUGUAUAGGAGCUGAAGCCUGUCCGGUACUGGUAAGUCAACUAUCGUGGCUGAAGUAGCUUAGCAAUAAUCUACAAGGUCGUGGUAUAAGCUCCAGUGAACGACAGCUCUAACCCUGAGAGUUCUAAGGUAGCGUAGCCCCUUGCCGGGUAAGUUCCGGCCCGCAUGAAUGGCUUAACGAUUUGAAAACUGUCUUGAACCGCUGUUCGACGAACUUGAAAUGGCUGUGAAGAUGCGGCCUACUUGCAUCCGGACAAAAAGACCCUAGAAGCUUUACUGAAGUUUGGUAUUGGUAAAAACACGGUGCAUGUCUAGUGUAGGAGGGAGCCUUCGGGCGCAAUUGUAACACCUCUCUUCGCUUUGUUUUUGCCUUAUCUCCCUUUGUGGGGGAAACAGUGCUAGACGGUCAGUUUACCUGGGGCGGGUCCCUCCAAAAAAGUAACGGAGGGGUACAAAGGUUGGCUUAGUGCGGAUGGAAAUCGCACUGUACGGGCAAGCCCAUAAGCCAGCCUAACUGUGAGACCUAUAAGUCGAGCAGAUGCGAAAGCAGGUGCUAGUGAUCCUCGGAUGCGCUGUGAUUGCGCACCGGGCUUAACAGAUAAAAGCUACUCUGGGGAUAACAGGCUAGUUUCGCCCGAGAGUUCCUAUCGACGGCGAAGUUCGGCACCUCGAUGUCGGCUCAUCACAUCCUGGGGGUGAAGUCGCUCCCAAGGGUCCGGCUGUUCGCCGGUUAAAGUGGUACGCGAGCUGGGUUCAGAACGUCGUGAGACAGUUCGGACUCUAUCCGAUGCAAGCGCUUGGAAUUUUGAGGGAUGUCACCCACAGUACGAGAGGACCUGGGUUGAGGGAAUCCCUGGUGUACGGAUUGUCCCAAAAGGGCAUUGUCCGGUAGCUAGAUUCCCACGUGAUAAGCACUGAAAGCAUCUCAAGUGCGAAGCACUUCCCAAGAUGAGAAUUCCAUAUUAGCGCGCCCGUAGAUGACGGGUUUGAUAGGCAACAGAUGUAAGUGGAGCAAUCCAUUUAGUCGAGUUGUACUAACGCGCGAUUUCCUAUCUCUU